rnacentral:lncRNA from 1 species
GGUCAUGCUGUGAAGCUCUGGUUGGAGAAGCUUGAGGACAUAGCUCAUCUUGCUGAUGAUCUAUUGGAUGACUAUGGAUAUGAGCUUCUUCGGCGUAAGGUUGAACUGCAAAACCAGAUGAAGAAAAAGGUAAUGAACAUCUUGUCUCUUGCCAAUCCUGUUGUGUUUCGUGGUAAAAUGGCACAUAAAAUUAAGAAGAUCAACACCUCUCUGGAUGAGCUGAAAAAAGAUGCAAGUACUAUUGGGUUAGUUGCUAAGUCCUCAUUAGAGUCAACAAUCUCCCAUGAUAGAAGAAUAGAUAGGGAAACCUACUCUGAAUUCAAAAAAGAUGAAAACAAUAUCGUUGGAAGGAAGGAUAUUGUGGAAGAUGUAGUGAAAGCCCUGACCAACUUAAACAACUAUCAAGGACAUGAUCUUUCCGUUAUGGCCAUCGUGGGAAUGGGGGGACUUGGAAAGACCACUUUGGCUAAAGCUGUAUAUAAUGAUGGUAAGAUACAGCAACACUUCCAAGAACAACUGUGGGUUUGUGUAUCUACCUCUUUCGAAGUCAACUUUAUUUUAAAGAGGAUCUUAGAGUCUCUUAAACCUGAGCACGCUGCAGUCGAAGCUAGAGAUGCAAUAUGUAAAAACCUCAAAAAAGAAAUGAAAGAUAAAAGGUAUCUUCUUG